CUGCUAUUUUGUUUUUUCUCUUUUUCUCUUUCUGUUUGCUGCUUGUUUGUUGUGUGUAGGUACGGAGGAGCGGACGUGGAGGCUCACAGAUGUGGCACGUACGGAGGUGUGCGGGCGCGCGUACGUAGGCUCGUGCGUGAGGAGUGGCUUGGCAGCGGCGCCUCAGCCAUUAGGGUUUCCUGACUCUCUUUUUGUUGGGCUAUAUUGAGCCAUUAGAUUUGGGUUUAGAAAAUUGAGUUUAGGGUCAUUGGGCUGGUAUUGG
rnacentral:lncRNA from 1 species